rnacentral:rRNA from 1 species
ACGUUCGGAUGGGAUAACCGCUGAAAGCAUCUAAGCGGGAAGCUCGCUUCAAGAUGAGAUUUCCAAACACAUUAUGUGUGAGAGGCCCCCAGCCAGACCACUGGGUUGAUAGGCCGGAUGUGGAAGCGAGGACUAAAGACUCGUGAAGCUGACCGGUACUAAUAGGCCAACAACUUACACCACA